UGUAGAGAUAGGGUCUCAAUUUGUUGCCCAAGCUGGUCUCAAACUCAUGGUCUGGGCAACAAAGUGAGACCUUAUCUCUACAAG
ensembl:miRNA